CUGUAACUAAGUUCGUGCCAACAGUAAGAACAUUGAGCUAUAGUACUGGACUUUAUAGUAAAAUGAUUCCAUAUUGUACUUCGUUUACGUUGUUGAACUAAUACCAAGACUUAUGACAUUAACGUGUAUAAGUACAAUUAAUACAAAAUAAAAAAAAAAAAAAGAAGAAAUUAUAACUAAUGAGAUGAGGUCGGAGAUUACAAUCUUGGCACUUUAUACUAAUGAUGGUAAGAAAUGGUCAAGAUGUGUCAUUUGAGAACGAAUGGGUCACACUUGUGAACGAACCAAUCCAGUUCGCAAAAAUAUAAAAAGUCGUUCAUUCGUUCAUUCGUUCAAUUUUGUUCUCGUUCGGGUUGCACUGUUUGUGAACGAAUCGACCCGGAAUCCGGAUCAUUAAUUGAAAGUCCUUCAUUCGUCCGAUUUUGAUUUGGUUGCACUGUUCGUAAACGAUGUUUUUUCUUUAAUUAAAAUCGCUUGUAUUUAAUUGGAACAACACAUACAUACGACUGUUUCCAGAACGUUAUCUCAAAAAUAUUUUACUAGCUAAUUUCAUGAAAACAAACGUUCCGUGUGUAUAAUUGUUUUUUUUGUUUUACGAUUAAUUCCAGCACAGUUCGCAGCGGUAAUAAAUAUUCAAUAAAAAUCAAAAGGAGAGAAUGGGUUGAAUACAUAUAGAGAGCAGGAGAAAAAUAUAUAACAAUGAUCCAGAAAAAUGUCCUAUUAGAGGAUGCGAAUAACAGAGAUCGAUGAAAGGAAUUAAUGAUGGCAAAAAUGAAUCUACAAAGCUCAAUAAGCUGUUAAGAAAAAGAAGAUAUACUUAUGUUUUAAUUAACUAAUUCAUAUUUAAUAUAAGAUCAGAUUACUUUAUCAUUAAUCUAUUUAUAUUUUUGUUGAUUUUAACCUGUUUUUUUUGGUUUGUAAUCAUUAGUCUAGCUUUUGAAAAAAGCCUUUUGCAUGGAACUGAUGUUGCUAAGAUAUGUAGACGUAUUUUUACAAUUUCAUAGAGGCGUGGAUAUAUUUUUUGUUAUUCUGAUAACCAGAGCUAAGGAUUUCCAUGUUUAUUGAUGAUUGGUUCAUUUAAUUAUUUAUCUAUAACAAUUAUCCCUGCUGCUGUAUAGUUAUUUCUACUAAUGGCAUUAUUUACAGAUUCAUCAAAUUAUUUCCAAGUUGCUGAAUUGGAAUACAGAGGUGCUAAAGAACAUGAUGGUUGAGAUGUGAUGUCUAAUUGUUCAGUUUGUAUACUCGAUAAUUUAUUUUGAAGUUGAAAUACACCUCUAUUAUAUUUAUCUGUAUUAUUAAAUCUAUGUUUUUUGAAUCUACAAUCCAAAAUUAUAGUUAGAGUAAUGAGAAUAUCAUCUUUAAUUUUGUCAAACCAAAUCAUAAUAUUUUCUAGUGUUGACCAUAUUCAGCACUUCUAGAGGUAAACUUUUUUCAUUUAUAAACGUGAGUAAUUUUUUAAAUGGCUUUUACAAAAAUGACCUGUUUUGAAAUUGUUAUAUAUUAUUCAACUGUAACUUCAUAAAAAUGUUAUUUUAUAAAAAUACAUCUUUAGAUUUAUCGACCACUUACCAUUAAUGGGGAGCAUGAGUGUUUAAUUCAAUUUUGUUUAAAAUGACUAAUGUUGCAAUGAUUGGUUCCUUAAUUUUCAAUACUCUAUCCAGCAAAUUAUAGGUUGAGUUUUAGCGUAUCUGUUAAUUUUGUUUUAGUUUUAAAAUUGGGUAUUCUGUAUGUUUUUAAUAUUCGUGUAAUAUGACUAAUGUGUGAGAACUUCUAUUAAAAUAUGAUACAAUAUCUUUUAUUUUUGUUAUUAUUGAUUCAAUUUUUAUUAAUCCAGAAUGAAUAAUCAAGUUGAUAGUAUGGGCAAAACAUGACAGCCGUCUCCAAUUGCAUUUAUCAAUUGCAAGUUUUAUAUUCUCAGCAUUAUCUGUUACCACAACAGUUAUACACUACUUCAACUAAUCAUGACGUUCUAGGAAACCGGUACAUCCCAACAAAACAUGAUAAUUCAAUGAUAUUUUCUGGAUGUAUAAAGUAAGCAAUAACUGCAACAAAACUUUAAUUAUUCCUUAAUGUUCAUUUAUCAGUAGUCAAACAUACUGCAGAUAGAUUUCUAAAUAUGUUCUUAACUCUUUGGACAAUCAUCUUACAUAUUUGUGGCAAUAAACUAUUUGAAACUAUUUUCUUAAAGAUUUACUGACAUAUAAUGGCAGAGUUCAUAGGAUGAAAUUUGUACGAAAAAUGAAUGACUUGUACUUUGGAUCAUUGAAGAUGAUUUAGUUACCGAAGAAUUUAAUGUUACAGAUAUUUCUGAUUGAUAAGUAUAAAUGGAUGUUAGUUGUUGUGUAUUGUCCAAAUAUUCAGAGUUUGAGUCCUCUAUCUAAUGAAAAAUUAUUUAUUCUCUAAUGAGGAUGGAGACCAUUGGAAUUACUUUGGAUCAUUGUGUCAGUAUAAUGGGAAAUCAUGUGGAUUACUGAAUUAACCAGCAACUAACCACCAACAUUCUAAUACGAAGCCCAACAAAUAUGGGAUAGAUAUUUUGAUUAUUUUAAUAAUCAAGGAGCGUGCAGGGCCAACAAGAACUUUUGAGUGCGCCAAAGGUGAUUAGUUUCAAGCCCCCUAUACUUAAACUUGUUUGGUCAAGAUAUACAUACUACUUGUACAUACUUAAUAAAAUAAAAAUAUUUAAAUUUGCAAAUUAUGCUAUAGUGAAUGAGAUUAUAAAAUAAUUUUGUAUAAGAGGCUGAAACAACGGGCCAUCUUGGAGAUAUGGGCCCCAGGGCUCUUGCACUUACCACCCUCUCACCGGCCCUGGGAGCAUGGCAAAACCGAAUCAAUGAAAUUUUAAUUACGUCGCUAACCAAAUGCAUUAUACCUACCUAUUGUUUAAUAAAAUUAAUCAUAAUAUUAAUUACCGAUUUCGAUUGUGUAGAUCGCUGUUGAACAAACGGAUGAAUGAAUGAGUUCAUUUGAUUGAACCAAAAUACUUUUGGCUUAUAGAUGUCAUCUGUAUCCUUUCUAGAUCUUAUGCUGUCUGAUAUUUUUUUUAACUCUUGACACUGCAGCUGCACGUAAAUCUCUAUCACGGUAUGCAUCCAAGGCUGGGUCGUAUAGCACUUUUUCCAUUGAAUAUAACUCCAAAAAACGUG